AGUGAACGCUGGCGGUAUGCCUAACACAUGCAAGUCGAACGGCAGCACAGUAAGAGCUUGCUCUUACUGGUGGCGAGUGGCGGACGGGUGAGGAAUACAUCGGAAUCUACUUUUUCGUGGGGGAUAACGUGGGGAAACUUACGCUAAUACCGCAUACGACCUACGGGUGAAAGCAGAGGAUCUUCAGACCUUUCGCGAUUGAAUGAGCCGAUGCCGGAUUAGCUAGUUGGCGUGGUAAAGGCCCACCAAGGCAACGAUGCGUAGCUGAGCUGAGAGGAUGAUCAGCCACACUGGAACUGAGACACGGUCCAGACUCCUACGGGAGGCAGCAGUGGGGAAUAUUGGGCAAUGGGCGAAAGCCUGAUCCAGCCAUACCGCGUGGGUGAAGAAGGCCUUCGGGUUGUAAAGCCCUGUUGUUGGGAAAGAAAAGCAGCAGGUUAAUACGCCGCUGUCCUGACGGUACCCAAAGAAUAAGCACCGGCUAACUUCGUG
rnacentral:rRNA from 1 species